rnacentral:lncRNA from 1 species
CAGAAUCGCAAGCAGCCUCUCCUAGCUCUGUCGUGGGAUCACAGAACCUCCAGUGCUCUGCCCCUGGCUUAAUCUUGUCCUCAGCACAGUUCUGGACACAGACAUGGACACUCCCAUUUUACUGAAGGAAACCAGCCCAGGCUCACACAGCUGGAGUCCUCAGGAGAUCCCUAUUGAGUCAGCUGGAUUUCUUCUCUGACGACCACCCUCUCCCCCCGGAGAAUCAAGUAUAUGAAGGUUCACCUCUCCCUUAAUGAAGUUGAUACCAAGGGAGUGAAAUCAAAGUCCGAAAAACAGCCUCUGCAGAAAGAAAAUGCUCAGCUUAAGAUCCAAAAGAAUCAGGAAGCUGGGACUGAAAGAAUGGGAGCAGUGGAAGGGGAGAAGCAGCUGUCAGCCACAGAGGAGAAAGUGAAAUUAGCUGCAGAAGAGCUUCGGAACUACAAGUGAGUUCAGCUCCUACCAGCAGCUCUCACGACAGCCAUUUUAUUACUUUGAAACUUUGUACAGUGUUUAGAGCCAAGUAGCACACACAUACACACAAACAUUCAGGAGACAUUCAUUUUUAUAGAGACUUCAAGAGAGAUGUGACAUUUUCCA